AACACGCUCCUUAGAUCCACCUCUGGAGGGCGCUGCUCUCUGAGCAGAGCUCCUCAGCAGCUUCCUGGCUGUACAGUUGGAGGUGCUUGAGUCAUUGGCGUGUAAAACCAGUCUACCUGUCCUCCAGCUCACCUGCAGCACUGCAACCAGUCACCAGACUGGAGCACCCAGUGCUGCCAGCCUGGAGGACGGACACU